rnacentral:tRNA from 1 species
GUCAGGGUAGCUCAGCUGGUUAGAGCAUGGGACUCAUAAACCCAAGGUCGGGAGUUCGACUCUCCCCUCUGACACCA